rnacentral:tRNA from 1 species
GUGGCUAUAGCUCAAUUGGUUAGAGCGUUAGACUGUGGCUCUAAAGGUUGCGGGUUCGAUCCCCGUUAGCCACC